rnacentral:tRNA from 1 species
GGCCAUCUAGCUCAACUGGACAGAGCGUCACCCUCCUAAGGUGGAUGUUCCCGGUUCGAGUCCGGGGAUGGCCUCCA